rnacentral:rRNA from 1 species
CCCGCUGAACUUAAGCAUAUCAAUAAGCGGAGGAAAAGAAACUAACAAGGAUUCCCCUAGUAACGGCGAGUGAAGCGGGAUGAGCUCAAAUUUAAAAUCUGGCUGGUUUACUAGUCCGAAUUGUAGUUUAUAGAAGCGUUUUCGGUGGCAGCCUGGGUAUAAAUCCUUUGGAAUAGGGUAUCAUAGAGGGUGAGAAUCCCGUCUUUGACUCAGUGCAUGCUACUAUGUGAUACGUUUUCAAAGAGUCGAGUUGUUUGGGAAUGCAGCUCAAAAUGGGUGGUAAAUUUCAUCUAAGGCUAAAUAUUGGCGAGAGACCGAUAGCGAACAAGUACCGUGAGGGAAAGAUGAAAAGAACUUUGAAAAGAGAGUUAAACAGUGCGUGAAAUUGUUGAAAGGGAAACGUUUGACACCAGUUAUGCGGGUGGAAAAUCAGUCUUUUGCAGUGGGGAGUUGUGGGCGUUCAGACCGCAAGGCUGGCGUUUGCUUCAUCUUUGUUGUAAGUGAUGCACUUUUUCAUUUGCAGGUCAACAUCAGUUUGCUUUGCUGGACAAAACCCCAAGGGAAGGUGGCAGCUUAGGCUGUGUUAUAGCCCUGGGGCGAUACAAGUGGAGUGGACUGAGGUUUCGCAGUGUGUGCUCUCGGGCAAGGCUGACUGGGUGCUAUGGGAUCGUUCGGCGUACAAUGCAUGCAUUUUGCGUCGUGUCUUUUUCAUACUCGCUCAACUCGGCUCUUCCACACUGUAGGAUGUUGACUUAAUGGUUUUAAACGACCCGUCUUGAAACACGG